rnacentral:rRNA from 1 species
GUCGAGAAUCUUUCACAAUGGGGGCAACCCUGAUGGAGCGACGCCGCGUGGAGGAUAAGGUCUUCGGAUUGUAAACUCCUGUCAUGCGAGAACAAGGCUGCGGGGUUAAUAGCUCAUGCAGAUUGAUGGUACCGCAAGAGGAAGAGACGGCUAACUCUGUGCCAGCAGCCGCGGUAAUACAGAGGUCUCAAGCGUUGUUCGGAAUCACUGGGCGUAAAGGGUGCGUAGGUGGCGUGGUAAGUCAGAUGUGAAAGCCCGGGGCUCAACCUCGGAACUGCAUCCGAUACUGCCAUGCUAGAGUACUGGAGAGGUGACUAGAAUUCUCGGUGUAGCAGUGAAAUGCGUAGAUAUCGAGAGGAAUACCAAAGGCGUAGGCAGGUCACUGGACAGUUACUGACACUGAGGCACGAAGGCCAGGGGAGCGAACGGGAUUAGAAACCCCAGUAGUCC